CCUGUGCACCCAGGUCACUCGUCUCGACUCGGAAAAAACUCUCAUCUUUCUUUUGAGCCAAGAACUGUGUUUUGAGUGGGCUCCUCUGGCCAAGCAGAACCCGGGACCAUCUGGCCAGGGGCAGCAGAGCCCACACGGAGGUGGGCCCUCCCUCUGUCAAUCACUAACCAAGGUGUGCUCGUAGGCCAGUCGGAUGGAGGCAUUUUCUCAACUGAGGUUUUUCUUUCUCAGAUGACUUUACCUUGUGUCAACCUGACAAAAAGCUAACCACCACACUAUGUGAACCUCCCUGCAUCCUGAAUUCGGGUGAGAAUUAAAGGAACUCAUAGACAUGGAGAAUUAGAUCCAGCAAAGAAGCAGUCAACAGAAAGACUGGGCAAUCUGCAUCAUGAGGGAAAAUAUUUGUGAAGCCACGUUAUCAGUCCUUCGCAUUCUCUGGUCCCACAGAGUGAACUCAAUAAACCUUGGGUUGAAAAUCGGGGAUGUGUGGAUUUUUUUUGUAACUAUUCUAUAAAUAAUACAACUAUUUAUGUUUCGUUUGAAUUAAAAGUAACCCAGAGAUUAUUAAAGUAUGUGCACAUUAUAAUAAGC
rnacentral:lncRNA from 1 species